rnacentral:rRNA from 1 species
CAACAGGGAUUGCCCUAGUAACGGCGAGUGAAGCGGCAACAGCUCAAAUUUGAAAUCUGGCUCUCUUUGGGGGUCCGAGUUGUAAUUUGCAGAGGAUGCUUUGGCAUUGGCGGCGUUCUAAGUUCCUUGGAACAGGACAUCACAGAGGGUGAGAAUCCCGUACGUGGUCGCCUGCCUUUGCCGUGUAAAGCUCCUUCGACGAGUCGAGUUGUUUGGGAAUGCAGCUCUAAAUGGGAGGUAAAUUUCUUCUAAAGCUAAAUACCGGCCAGAGACCGAUAGCGCACAAGUAGAGUGAUCGAAAGAUGAAAAGUACUUUGGAAAGAGAGUCAAAAAGCACGUGAAAUUGUUGAAAGGGAAGCGCUUGCAGCCAGACUUGCCCGCAGUUGCUCACCUAGGCUUUGGCCUGGGGCACUCUUCUGCGGGCAGGCCAGCAUCAGUUUGGGCGGUUGGAUAAAGGCCUCUGUCACGUAUCUCCCUCCGGGGUGACCUUAUAGGGGAGGCGUAAUGCAACCAGCCCGGACUGAGGUCCGCGCAUCUGCUAGGAUGCUGGCGUAAUGGCUGUAAGCGGCCCGUCUUGAAACACG